GGGAAGCAAUGACGCAUCGAUUUCUGCCCACCUCCCCUGACAUAUUCCUUUUACCUUUGUAGCCACAAGCUGGGUGGUCUCUGGACAGGAAAGAGGGUUGCGGGGGCCCUGCUCUCAUGGACAGACCUGGACAGAGGUUAUGCAUCAGAAUGAAAAACAAACUCGAGGACAUGAGCAGGAAGCCAAGACCUUCCGAACUGCACACAGCACAAGUUUCAGCCCAAGCACUUGUUUUCAACGUUGGGGCUCUUGCAUCUAAUGGGCUAUAGAUUGAAAGAGGUGGAGCCAGAGCCCGAAAAGGCCAGCCGUGGGCAGUGGCCCAGGCCCCGCAGAGAAUCAGCUGCUUGGUCAAUAUUUGCUGAACUGACAAAUGUAUUGUUCUGGCCACAUCCCAGACCGACCAGGAAGGGGCAGGACAACAGGAUCUAGGGAACACACCUUCCUCUCUGUACCCCUGUGGCCUAACGUUGGGCCCUUGUGGGACCUGGUGCUCUCAGACACUCUGAUGACCAGAGCAAGGCCGGACCCCAUGGGCUGAGCCCCUCCCCCCACCUUGUGAGUUCCCGAGCAUGCUGUGUGCAGAGGGACUUUGGCAAAGGGAACGCAGGGUCCCGCUUUCCAGCUGGCCAAGGGCUGUGCCCCCUGCAGAGUUGCCUGGCCACUGGACAGGAGCAAGAGUCUGUGCCAGACCCGUGUCCACUUCCCAGAGACCCUGUGGCCGGCUGACAGCUGGCCCCUGGUUGGAGAACACUGAGGGCUGAGGACGUGAAGGGCAGUCAAGGGGCAAGUCCUCUGCCACCUUAUCGUGGUGGUUGUGUGCAUGUCCUCGGGCCACCAGAACCCAGGGGGCAUAAGACAACAGGAAGCUACUGUCGCAGGGUUCUGGAGUCUGGAAGCCCACAGCCAGGGUGUCAUAGGGCCACACUCCCUCCAGAGGCUCUGGGGGAGCAUCAUCCUGCCUCUUCCAGCGUCUGGGGCUCCAGGGGUCCCAGGGCUUGUGGCCGCGUCCUUCCAGCCUCUGCUUUGGUUACCAUCUGCCUUCUCCUCAUCUUCUGAGUCCAUCCUCUGCGUGUCUCUUAUAAGGACACCUGUCCUCAUAAGAUUAAGUUGGAUAAUCUAAGAUGCUGUCUCCUCAAGAUCCCUAAUUAUAUCCUCAAAGACCCUUAUUUUAAAGUAGGCCAUAGAACCAGGUCGGAGUGUGGGGUGUGGACAGGUUUUGGGGGGCCACCAUGGAGCCCCCUGCCCCUUCUCACGGCGUUCUCUCUCCCAGAGCCCCGUCUUAGGUCUGUUUGAUCCCAGCGUCCAAAGCAGUGAUUGACGCUUUGAAUAAGUGAAAGAGCCAAUGAAUGGCAUGGAAGACUCCCUCCCUGUCGUCCAUUGCCCUCCGCCCUGCCCAUCCUACCUAAUAAGCAGCUCCGGCCUUCACCGGGUACCGAAAAUGGCUGUCAGCAUUCUGCCCUCAGACUUCUGCUAUGUGCCCAGGCUGACCCUGAGGGCACCUGCAUUGAGAAAGCAGGCAGGGAGAGGGGGCCAUGCUGGGUGGCCCUGGAGGGGGGGCGGCCUGGGGGAAGAACAUGUCUUUCAGGGUCCAACAAGCAGGGGCUCGCAUUGGCUGUGGGACCUCAGGAAAGUGACCCAGCCCCUCUGAGCCUCUGCUUUGACUCCCCACAAGGGAGUUUGAAGACUUGAAACAGACCCAAAGCACCUAGUUCAACAGCCACCGGGCAGCGGAGCACCAUGAGCUCGUGUUUGCUGGGGGCUUUCUGGAGGGCGGGGUGGGCAGUUACUCCCAUCCACAGAUAGAGAAACACAGGUGGUCGAGAAGCUUGUCCAGGGCUGUGAGCUGGUCCCGUGGCAGAGUCUUGGGUUCCAACCCCAGGAGAAAGCAGGGAGGCGUCCUUUGCUGCAAAAGAAAAGGCAAGUGGGAAGGAGGAUUAAGCCACUGGAUGCAGCCGGAAGUGAGAGGAUUCAGAACCAGGUCCCCCGAGGUCCGGCCAGUGGAGGGGACAGGGCUGCCUUGCAAGGGACCGAAGGAAGGUGUCCAAAGUGCAAGCCAGUUGCCCACCUUCCAUGGGGCUAUGGAAAGCAGAAUGUGCAAGAGUUCCCCUUGUGGCUCAGCAGGUUAAGAACCUGACUAGUUUCCAUGAGGAUGCAGGUUCCGUCCCUGGUCCUGCUCAGUGGGUUAAGGAUCCCGCGUUGCUGUGGCUGUGUGGUAGGUUGAGCUAUAGCUCUAAUUCAGCCCCAGCCCGGGGACCUCCAUAUGCUGCAGGUGCAGCUCUAAAAAGAAAAAAGCAAAGACAAAGGAGCAGUCGGCUCAUGUUGAACUGAACAGAGAACGCGCUCCUGAGCAUCCUAGGGCAGUGGGGGCUGUGUCAGCGGACACGUCCCAGGCGCUUGGUGGGGACCCGUGCAGGGGGUGCAAGCAUGGCCUCCAGCUCUGAAGUAGGUGGGCUUUCAAUCGCUGGAGAGCCUGCGGAGCCUGAUGCUUAGACCACCCAGUCCCAUGUGUGGCAUUUGGGAGGACAGGACGCCGACCCCUUAAAUCACAAGCACCAUUUGCUUUCACGUCGCCCUUCAGUUUCUCCGUAAAAACUGUGAAUUUUUGUGUGUGCCAUGCUGCAGUGGCAAACAUGACAGUGCAAGAAACUGAACACUUUAAAGGAACCUUGACCCUCCUAACAAAGCAAAGCUUUGCCCCUCACGACAGUGUUUGUUCUUUUCACUCAAUGUUUAACAUCUGGGUGUAAGUUGUUGAUUUUUUUCAGGAGGAUGUGUACAAAUAUAAUAUUGAAAUUUGACACUCAAAUGCACACACACUCAGCAAAACACACAUCUCACACAUCUAAGUGAUCCAGUGCAUAGACCUUUCAGUGAUUUUUUUUUUUUUAAUCUUUUUAAGGCUGAACCCAUAGCAUAUGGAGGUUCCCAGACUAGGAGUCGCAACGGAGCUGUAGCCACUGACCUACACCACAGA
ensembl:lncRNA